rnacentral:lncRNA from 1 species
GAUGAUAACCUGACGAAAGCGAAAGGCGAAUCUGAUUCUGGUAAGUCGCAAUCUGAAACUGACCGAUCUAGAAAGCGUAGAGGGAUGAGAUCUUAUGAUAGCGAUAGCGAAUCUGUAGAGAGUGAGAGUGAUUCUGAUAAGGAAGAUAGGAGACAACGUAGUAGAAGGAAGAUUAAGAGUAAGAGGUCUAGGAGAUCUUAUGAUAGCGAUGGUGAAUCUGAAGAGAGUGAUUCCGAUGAGGAAGAUAGGAAGAAAAGCACAAGUAUUAGGAAAAAGAGAAGAUACAGUGAUUCUGAUGAGAGCAGCGAUGCAUCUGAGAUUAGUGCUUCCUCUUCUGGUGAUGAACAACACACCA